UACGAAGGGGGCUAGCGUUGCUCGGAAUCACUGGGCGUAAAGGGUGCGUAGGCGGGUCUUUAAGUCAGGGGUGAAAUCCUGGAGCUCAGCUCCAGAACUGCCUUUGAUACUGAGGAUCUUGAGUUCGGGAGAGGUGAGUGGAACUGCGAGUGUAGAGGUGAAAUUCGUAGAUAUUCGCAAGAACACCAGUGGCGAAGGCGGCUCACUGGCCCGAUACUGACGCUGAGGCACGAAAGCGUGGGGAGCAAACAGG
rnacentral:rRNA from 1 species